CAGGGCUGACACCCAGGUCUCCUAUGCACCACCAGACUAUUUAUUUGGUGCUUAUAUUUGUCCUAUUUUACAUAAGUGUGUAUUAAUAAGCAUGUGUGAAUUGGAAAUAGUUUUUUUUCGAACUAGCUACCUUUGUUACUGGCCCAAUGCUCUAACCGCUAGGCUACCUCCCGCCCUUAUGUAUAUAGCAUGUGAGGAGUGUGGCAUGUGAGGAGCCGAAAGCAAAACCGACCAGUCCUGUCCCCACUAAGCAAAGAAACACCUACCUCCUUGCAAAUGAAAAGACAAAAUGAGCAACCCUUUGCCAUAGAAACCUUUGUGUACAGUUCUGGGUCUGGGUUGUUCUUCUUGAAGCGGACAUUUUGUACAAGUAUGACGGAAGAGCUUUGCCACAAAAUGUGCAACAUGCCUUUGUGACACAAAUAUUCUACAUGACGUACUGAGCCUUUUUAGAUAUUGGACCCAUUUGUUUAGGCCUGACACAUUGACUAAUUACAUGGUGUCUUCAUAUUUACAAAAUAUUAAAAAGCAAUUUAUUUAUCUACACAUAUGACUUGUUCAAAUAUCCUCAUGCACUAAAAGGAGAAACAUUUUAAUAUGCGGUCUACGUGUCUGAAACAAUCUUGUUUCACUCUCCGGACAAGCACACCCCAUGUUAGCCCACUAAGCUCAAGCAUUAACUGAAGGAGUUUCCAGGUCUCAAGCAAGUGUUACUCAUCACGCAAGCGUGGUUCACCAAACCACCUUGUUACAUGAGGUCGCAGACAGGCUGACCAAAUCAUGACUGUGUUAUUAGUGCAGAGAGAUAACAAUCUGUGCAGGCCGAGAGGAUAAAGACAUGGAAUCCCCCGUAGAAACUCCAGUGGGGUUAAGAGGCGUUGAGAUAGGGGCUUGCAUGUGGUCAGUAGGUAAUACACCACACCCAAGGUAGCCAUUUUCUAAUAGCAUGCAAUAAGGCCCGAGAAGGUAUAGUACAUGGCCAACAUACCACAACUAAGGGCUGUUCUUACGCACGACGCAGCGCGGAGUGCCUGGAUACAGCCCUUAGCUGUGGUAUGAUGGCCAUAUACCACAAACCCCCGAGGUGCCUUAUUGCUAUUAUAAACUGGUUACCAACGUAAUUAGAGUAGUAAAAAUAUUUUUUUGUCAUACUCGUGGUAUACAGGUAUGAUAUACCACGGCUGUCAGCUAAUCAGCAUCCAGGACCCAAACUACCCAGUUUAUAAUGGAGUAUAAAGUUGUUAUUUAUUGCAAUAUUGAAAUGGGGCAACUCCUUGCGGUAAUUUACUUCCCCCAGGCUGGCUAUUUUGUGUCACAAUGCUCACCAUAACUUGAUGGAGACUUCUGCUUGCUUCUACAUCUGCAUUGCUUGCUGUUUGGGGUUUUAGGCUGGGUUUCUGUACAGCACUUUGAGAUAUCAGCCGAUGUAAGAAGGGCUUUAUAAAUACAUUUGAUGGAGACUAGAUUUAUUGCAAUAUUGAGGAAACUCCCUUUGUAUCAUUAAGGGUAGUCAUUUGGUGGUGGCUCACAAUAAGUGAAAAUCCUCCAUUUUUAAGUCUGAAUACCAGCAAAAAGGUGCGAUGUGUCCACACUCAAAAAGACGUUGCAUAAAGCUCACUUCCUAAAAAAAUACAAGAAAUUGGUCUGAAGACCAAGAUGAAGAAUUGCACUCUUGCUAUUGGUUACUGGAUUACAGUUUAUCCUGGUCCAUGGACUAAAGUCAGGGUAAUGAAUGAUAACUUUAAGGUCUAAAAUAACGAACUAAGCUGCUCAUUAAGACUGCAUGGGUUGCGUUCAGUAGAGCCAACCGGGAAAACAGUAUGGAAACGGAGGACCUGAGCCCUAGGACCAUGCCUCAGGACUACCUGGCAUGAUGACUCCUUGCUGUCCCCAGUCCACCUCGCCGUGCUCCUGCUCCAGUUUCAAAUGUUCUGCCUGCGGCUAUGGAAUCCUGACCUGUUCACUGGACGUGCUACCUGUCCCAGAUCUAUUAUUUGACCAUGCUGGUCAUUUAUGAACAUUUGAACAUCUUGGCUAUGUUCUGUUAUAAUCUCCACCCGGCACAGCCAGAAGAGGACUGGCCACCCCUCAUAGCCUGGUUCCUCUCUAGGUUUCUUCCUAGGUUUUGGCCUUUCUAGGGAGUUUUUCCUAGCCAAUGUGCUUCAACACCUGCAUUGCUUGCUGUUUGGGGUUUUGGGCUGGGUUUCUGUACAGCACUUUGAGAUAUCAGCUGAUGUACGAAAGGCUAUAUAAAUACAUUUGAUUUGAUUCAGCAUUUAAAAAAUCCAGCAGCGUUGCAGUUCUUGACACACCCAAACCGGUGCACCUGGCACCUACCACCAUACCCCACACCUAAAUCUUUUGUCUUACCCAUUCACCCUCAGUGCAACACAUACACAAUCCACAUCUCAAGGCUUAAAAAUACUUAUUUAACCCAUCUCCUCCUCUUCAUCAAUAAGGGAUCAUAGCUUUCACCUGGAUUCAUCUGGUCAGUUUAUGUCAUGGAAAGAGCAGGUGUGUCUAAUGUUUUGUGCACUCAGUGCAUAUAUUUGUUUAAUUUUGGCAACACCACUGCAGUUGACCUAGACUUUGAAUACCACUGGUCUAGUACAAUGCUGCUUCCCAAUACAUCAUAUAAACCAGCUUAUCUUUCACAAUAGUCCAGUCCAUAAGAUCACUACUCUCCAGCAAACAGCAACCACCCAGACAGAGGGAGAUAAGAUUCUAUUAUUUCAGGUACGAUGUCACAGGCAAUUUUCUCUGGUUGCCACUGCUGGCCUGAGGCAAUAAUAAAAUAUGUGGAUAAACUAGGCCCAAGACCCAGCAGGGUCACGGAAGAAGGACAGCAAGGGCUUUCAAGGCUCCAGUCACAGCCGUUUUGGGAUUCAGCCUGGAAGGCAACUGAUAAGUCUGGUCGAAUCAAGAGGACCUCAUCAAUGCAUUUGUUUGCUCCUUGAAGUACAGGCACCAGCAGGCAGUGACAUCCAUCAACCAAGUCCUUAUUUCUAUUGACUUGGCGCCCUCUUGUGUUGAUGUGUGUAUCGGCAAGAGCAAGAGAGGCUCCAUAACAUCUUGUGCCUUGCUGAGCGACUCAUGUACAGUGGAUAUUACUUUAUUCCAUCAAUUAAGUGUCUACAAACAAUUUCCCCAAAUGUGUGCUUGGCAGGGAAUAAUGACACCUCUUAGUCACUGACAGCUCCACCCAGACAGCCUGUUGGUCUGGUGAGUAAUCCAUCAGGGUUGGUAGACAAGAGCACACGGGUGUGUUCACUAAGGUGAAACAUUUACAAUAAUGCAGAUAAAAAUUUAACCAAACAGAAAUUCCAGUUCCACAUGACAGACAAUAAAAUCUGUUCUACAUAAUGAUUUUCUAUCUGCUGUGUGUAUGGGUGUGGCCCUUACCCUGGUCUAUGUUGUGCUGUGGUAGCUGGCUCAUCUGAGCGUUGAC
ensembl:lncRNA